rnacentral:tRNA from 1 species
GGCGGCAUAGCCAAGUGGUAAGGCAGAGGACUGCAAAUCCUUCAGCGACGGUUCAAAUCCGUCUGCCGCCUCCA